CAUGCAAGUGGUUAUAUUAACCCGACAGUUUAAAUAAGUGUUCAUAUUGCGUUUUAUAUACACACACACACACAAUAUAUACAAACGCAUUACAUUCACUACAACAGAAAGACGUAUCACUUACGCAACUGCAGACAGCUGCUUAAUACAGUCACACUYGUCUUGACUUGGCACAACCCACACACACACAUACACAACACAUACACAUAUUYUCACACAAUAUGUGAUUUCUCUGUUUUCGCAUAUUUACAAGAAUUGCGAUUACAUCGKGACAUUCUUUUUUUUUAUGGAUAACUCAGGGAAAGUUUGGCUAAUACGUACGAGUAUUUUUUACAACACACACACACACACCUACACAACCACACAGUAUACUACUCAGCACUCAAUGGUAAACUUUGAUAUUUUACAUUCGUGUAUUUUGUCAGUUUUAAAGUUUAACCGCAACAUGAGAGACAUUGAGUACGCACUGCAUUAUUUUUAACUUUACUGUUAAUAUUUUGCAAUUACGCUGAGCAGACUUUGCGAAGUUCACUUUGCGAAGCAUGUCAUACAAGCAUCUACAGCAUCAAGUCACAGGGUUGGCAAGUGUAUUUUUGAACCUUCAAAGCAGUCACGCAUACGGAAGAGUAGUUUCUGAUCCCAUAGAAGGAGCACCGUACAAUGAGAGACCGCUCUUAGUUCUAAGGAACGCAGCAGGCGCGUAAAUUGCCCAAUGCUAGUACCCUAAUACUAACUAAUAUAUAACAAUUUACCAAUUAUAUGCUUUACAGCAUAUUAUUGACACUUUUAUUAACUACUGUCAACACACAUACACACAUACACAUCCUUGUUCGCAUGUCCUUAUAUGUUAAUAAAUAUUAAAUAUUAUAUUUAUAUAUUAUUUAUUUUUUUUUACUGAGGCAGUGACAAGCUGUAACGGUUGAGUAUAAAAAUGACGAGUGUCUGGCAUUGCCGCUUCUUUCGGGGAGCUUGGCAAGUUGCCGACGCUUUGUGUGCUCAAUUGGAAUGCGGUGAGUUUAAGCAACUCAGAACCUUUAAUACGGUGUGAUUUUUUGAUCAUCGUGUUAUGUAUCUGAAUUUCAAGUGGAGGGCAAGUCUGGUGC
rnacentral:rRNA from 1 species